AACGAACGCUGGCGGCAUGCCUAACACAUGCCAGUCGAACGAGACCUUCGGGUUUAGUGGCGCACGGGUGCGUAACGCGUGGGAACCUGCCCUUAGGUUCGGAAUAACUACCCGAAAGGGGUGCUAAUACCGGAUAAUGUCUUCGGACCAAAGGUUUAUCGCCUUUGGAUGGGCUCGCGUUGGAUUAGCUAGUUGGUAGGGUAAAAGCAUACCAAGGCGAGGAUCCAUAGCUGGGCUGAGAGGAUGAUCCGCCACACUGGGACUGAGACACGGCCCAGACUCCUACGGAAGGGAGCAGAGGGGAAUACAGGACGAUGGGGGAAAGCCUGAUCCAGCAAUGCCGGGUAAGUGAUGAAGGCCGUAGGGUUGUAAAGCUCUUUUACCCGGGGUGAUAAUGACAGUACCGGGAGAAUAAGCUCCGGCUAACUCCGUG
rnacentral:rRNA from 1 species